GAUGUCUAAGAAACAUCGGAGAAGAUCCUCAUAAUGCAUCUGGAAAAAGAGACCGCACAAUCUUAAUACUCACCAUGCAAAAAAACGAAAAGGAUCCAGUACUAAAGACAGACACGCUCCAGUAAUCAGGGGCCAACCCACAAGCAGCCAUCAUGGCACCACCUCUCCAGAGGAGGAACAUUCUGGCGAAGUCUAAAAAUUCAGUAGAACAAGAGCUUGAGAAAAUGCAAGUGCUUCAGAAGGAAAUGCUAGAGAGUCUCAAGAAAAAUGAGCAUUCCAUGAAAGUUGCCAU